GUACUUGCUUUGGCAGCACAUAUGCUAAAAUUGGAACGAUACAGAGAAGAUUAGCAAGGUCCUUGCACAAGGAUGACAUGCAAAUUCAUGAAGCAUUCCAUAUUUUU